rnacentral:rRNA from 1 species
CAUAUCUCCGACGAGCGAUGUCGAGCCACAAGGCGUGCUGCAGGACCAUGUUCGUGCGCGGGGCUGGUGAUGUUCGCGGGGAUCAUGUCGGGGCUCACCCUCGGCCUCAGGUCGCUCAGCCUGGUGGACCUGGAGGUGCUGGCCAAGGCUGGCACUCCGCAGGACCGAUGCAACGCCGCCACGAUCCUACCCAUCGUCAAGAACCAGCACCUCCUCCUCUGCAUGCUUCUCAUCUGCAACUCCCUCACCAUGGAGGCGCUCCCCAUCUUCCUCGACUCCCUUGUGCCCUCCUUCGGUGCCAUCCUCAUCUCCUUCACCCUCAUCCUGGCCUUCGGUGUGAUCAUGACGCAGGCCAUCUGCAUGCGCUACGGGCUGAGCAUGGGGGUCAAUGUGGCGCCCAUAGUCAGGGUGCUCCUCGUCGUCUUCUUCCCGGUCGCCUACCCCAUCAGCAAGGUACACCCAAUUUCUUCUUCUGCUUGCAAGAAUCCGGGAGCAACUACCAAUUUUGAGUGCAAGCAAAUAUAA